rnacentral:lncRNA from 1 species
GAGGAAACAAUGUCAGAAGGACAUAGAGAGCACAGCAGACAAAAGACACAGCCGACAGACAGGGCACAGAAGACAGACAAAGGACACAGCAGACAGAGGGUACAGCAAACAGACAAAGGACACAGCAGACAGACAGAGGGCACAGCAGACAGAGGGCACAGCAGACAUACAGAGGACACAGCAGACAGAGGACACAACAGACAGGACACAGCAUACAGACAGAGGGUACAACAGACAGAGGACACAGCAGACAGACAAAGGGCACAACAGACAGACAGAGGGCACAGCAGACAGACAAAGGGCACAGCAGACAUACAGAGGACAUGGCAGACAGACAGAGGACACAGCAGAAAGAAAGAGGGCACAGCAGACAGAAGACACAGCAUACAGCAUAGGAUACACUAGACAGAGGGCACAGCAGACAGAGGACAGCAUACAGCAUAGGAUACACUAGACAGAGGGCACAGCAGACAGAGGACAUAGCAUACAGCAGAGGGUACACUAGACAGAGGGCACAGCAGACAGACAGGGCACAGCAGACAGUCAGAAGACACAGCAGACAGACAGAGGACACAGCAGACAGCAGAGGGCAUAGCAGACAGACAGAGAGCACAGCAGACAGAUUUUCUGGCUCGGAUAAGGACUACAGUGGCAAACUUUUGCAGUAAUUCAAAGGCAUUGUCAUUUACUUAAAUAGCACAGAAAAUCACUGAUGUUCCCAAGGGGACCUAGGGUGCC